AGUCCUGAUCAAGAUAAUUAACUCUGUUGAAUUAAAAAAGCCAGUUAUUGCACACAGGUAAAAUUUGCUAUUUCAGUUUGGGCUGUGGAGGAGAAUAGAAAAGGCAACUCUAGACAGAGAUCAUCCUUUAAGGUGUUCAUUUCUCCUAAAUUUUAAACAAGACAGAGCUUUCAUUUCCCCCUUUUGUUCAGAGAGAUAACCAGAAUUUUUCCUGUGGUAACCAAGAUACAAGCCUGAUUUUAUUUGUGCUCCCACUGGCUCAGCCUUAACAUGAUUUCACACGGAAGCAGACCAUAUUAUGGAGCCAGCUGGAAGGGUGGAAUCCUGCCUGUUCUCAAAAGACCACAGCAGGCAGAUUGUUGUGCAGGAGAACUUCUUCAUCUGGUUGGGGAAAGCAGAGGCAAGAGUUCUGCCCACAGGGGACACCUAUCAAAGGGAGAAACUCCUGGAGCUGACUGGCCAUUAAAGAAUCUGUGGAACCACAGAGUGACCUGGCCAGCCCCACAUGACAUUAGCACAGAUGGCCUUGACCACGUUAAUGACAUUUCCAUGGGAAGAUCCAUAUCUUUGACAUUUCUUGCAACCCCAGAAGUGGCAAGCAGCAUGAAGUUGCCUAAACAGGAUUGACUUGACAGAAAAGCCCCCAGGUGUCCAGCACACUCCAGCCACCUCAGACAUUCAGAGUAGCAUCCACAUCCUCUGGCACCACUGGAGAUGGAGAACAUCAACCAAAACUGUGCAUGGAAUCACUAACAGGAUCAUCCAAAGCUCUGUCAGGUCCAGGGAGGGGAUUCUCCUCUUUGCUCUUGUGAGAUCCCACCUGGAGCGCUGUGCCCAGUUUGGGUGUCCCAAGAUCAGAAGGAUGUGGAACUGUUGGAGCAAAUCCAGAGGAGGCCAUGAGGUUGAUAAGGGGACUGGGGCAUCUUCCCUAUGGAGAGAAGAUGGGAAAGGUGGGAAUGUUCAGCCUGGAGAAGAGAAGGUUGUGUGGAGAAGCUUCCAGUGUCUGAAGGGGCUACAAGAAACCAGGAGAGGAACAAUUCAUCAGGAACUGGAGUGGAGCUCUGGCCCUGGAGCCUGGUCAGGGGCAGCUCAAUAAUAACGAUCUAAGGCUGGUCUUCAAUAGAGACUCAACAGCUGACAGCUCCUCUGUUCAAAUUGACAAGGGCACAAAGAAAGGCUUGAAUAAUUAAUUGUGAAUGGUUGGAUGUGAUUUGAUUGUGUGACCAACCUGUUAGAUCGACCUGCUUUCACCUAAUCUUUCAAAAUGAGGUAUUAAAACUGAAACUCUGCUAGGCUUCUUCCUUAUCUCCUGGUUGUGACUUCCUCUGUGGCAGAGCCUGCAGGAUGCGCCCUCCAUGAGAUGGAAGGUGGGGAAGGAGAGCCCUGAUCUCAUGUGGGUGAACAGGACUCUGUGCUCCAAGCCUGCCUAGUCUCUAUAAAAAGUGCUUUUAAUUUCUAUUAUGUAGAUGUAGCCAUCAAAAAAAAAAAAAAAAAAAGGAUGGGAAAAGAAUGUGGGACAUCAGCAAAGGUAACAGCUAUUCACUAAUUAACUUCUUCCUACCACAAAAAAACC